AGUGAACGCUGGCGGUAGGCCUAACACAUGCAAGUCGAACGGCAGCACAGUAAGAGCUUGCUCUUACGGGUGGCGAGUGGCGGACGGGUGAGGAAUACAUCGGAAUCUACUUUUUCGUGGGGGAUAACGUAGGGAAACUUACGCUAAUACCGCAUACGACCUGCGGGUGAAAGCAGGGGAUCUUCGGACCUUGCGCGAUUGAAUGAGCCGAUGUCGGAUUAGCUAGUUGGCGGGGUAAGGGCCCACCAGGCGACGAUCCGUAGCUGGUCUGAGAGGAUGAUCAGCCACACUGGAACUGAGACACGGUCCAGACUCCUACGGGAGGCAGCAGUGGGGAAUAUUGGACAAUGGGCGCAAGCCUGAUCCAGCCAUACCGCGUGGGUGAAGAAGGCCUUCGGGUUGUAAAGCCCUUUUGUUGGGAAAGAAAAGCAGCAGGUUAAUACCCCGCUGUUCUGACGGUACCCAAAGAAUAAGCACCGGCUAACUUCGUG
rnacentral:rRNA from 1 species